AAGAAAUGUUUUCUCCUACAUGGUUUUUCUCCGGGUUUUGGCAAAGGCAGAGGAAAGGCACCUCAAGCUACUGCUCAUUCUGGAAAUGCAGCCUCUAAUCAACAUAAAUCUGUUAAUUUUGUGGAGGAGACAGUAUCUGCUUAUCCUUUGCCCUUGUCUUCAUCUGCUGCAUCUGCUGUUGUGAAUCUCCCAAGUAUUGAUCAAUAUCAACAGCUUAUCAGUCUUUUGCAGAGCCAACACCUCCAUAACUCCACUUCUUUGGCUAGCAACUCUACCUCUGUCAGUCACUCUCAGCCAUUAAACAAUUUUUCUGAUACAGGAGCAACUCACCAUGUUUGCUUUGAUCAAUCUCUCUUUUCCUCUUCCUCUCCAAUAGCUAAUGCAUCUGUCAACCUCCCAAAUGGCCAUACUGCUCCUUGUUACUCACCUAGGUACUGUCCAACUCACUUCUCUCAUCACACUCUCUUCCAUUCUUCAUGUGCCAUCCUUCUCAUUUAACCUAAUAUCUGUUAGUGCUCUCACUCAACACACUUCUUGCACUGUUGUAUUUACUCACAAUAGCUUCAAAAUUCAGGAAGCUAUACUGGGGACUGUGAUUGGGAGGGGUAACCAUGUUGGCAACUUAUACAUCUUUGAGUUCCCUGAUUCACCAAGUAAUGCAGUAAGCAGUUUUCCUUCUACUUCUCAGAAUAAUGUAUCUGCCAUUUCUCAUGAUGUUUCUGUUAACUCAGUUGUAAGUCUUGAUGUUUGGCACCAACGCUUGGGCCAUCCUUCUCUGAAUAAACUCAAAGUUUUGUCUAAA